ensembl:snoRNA SNORA74 Small nucleolar RNA SNORA74
UCCAGCUGUAGAUAACUGCCUAGGUGGCAUUGUACCUAGUAAGUAUUAUACUGCUGGGAGAAAAGCAGCUAAUAGUCGGCUGGCAUCCUGGGCCUGGCAAAUGCCAAAUGU